AAGUCGUAACAAGGUUUCCGUAGGUGGCACGUUUUGCCUACGGGUCCCGGGCAGCGACGCGAAACAACUGCCCCAGUCGGCCCCGAACGGGCCGGCGACGCCAUCAGUCUGGGCUGGGAGCGCUCCCUCGCGGGUGCGACCAGCAGCUCUUCGCCCCCGGGCGUCGAGUUCACAGGUCAAACGAUUGCGGCCACUCUGGUGGUUCUGAUAUGAUCGGCCCCAGCCGUGCCCGGCUGGCGAGUCUGUGGAACCUGCGGAAGGAUCAUUACCGAGUGGGGGAGGCAACUCUCUAGCUUACCCCCGGCUUCGCGUCGGGGGUCUCUCCAUCCUUUGUCUAUCUACCAUUGUUGCUUUGGCGAGCCCUGGGGCUUCGGCCCCGCGGUGCCCGCCAGUGGCCCAUUCAACUCUGUUUUAACGGUGAUGUCGGAGUAAAAAUACAAUUAAUUAAAACUUUCAACAACGGAUCUCUUGGUUCUGGCAUCGAUGAAGAACGCAGCGAAAUGCGAUAAGUAAUGUGAAUUGCAGAAUUCAGUGAAUCAUCGAAUCUUUGAACGCACAUUGCGCCCCUCGGCAUUCCGGGGGGCAUGCCUGUUCGAGCGUCAUUACACCCCUCAAGCGUAGCUUGGUCUUGGGUCUCGCCCCUGCGGCGGGCCCGAAAAGCAGUGGCGGCCCGGUGUGGAUCCCAGCGUAGUAAAUCAUUUCGCCAGGGAGAAGCCCCGCGGUUGGCCAGCAACCGCCUUGUCUCAAAAAUUGACCUCGGAUCAGGUAGGGAUACCCGCUGAACUUAAGCAUAUCAAUAAGCGGAGGAAAAGAAACCAACAGGGAUUGCCUCAGUAACGGCGAGUGAAGCGGCAACAGCUCAAAUUUGAAAUCUGGGACGUUCGCGGCCCCGAGUUGUAAUUUGUAGAGGAUGUUUCGGGCGCGGCCCCGGUCUAAGUCCCUUGGAACAGGGCGUCAUAGAGGGUGAGAAUCCCGUAUGUGACCGGCGGUCAACCUCAUGUGAAACCCCUUCGACGAGUCGAGUUGUUUGGGAAUGCAGCUCAAAAUGGGUGGUAAAUUUCAUCUAAAGCUAAAUACCGGCCAGAGACCGAUAGCGCACAAGUAGAGUGAUCGAAAGAUGAAAAGCACUUUGGAAAGAGAGUCAAACAGUACGUGAAAUUGUUGAAAGGGAAGCGCUUGCGACCAGACCUGUCCGCGGGCGAUCAACCUCUGUUCUCAGGGGUGCACUCGCCCGCGAUCAGGCCAGCAUCGGUUUUGGCGGUCGGAUAAAGGCCUUGGGAAUGUGGCUCCCCUCGGGGAGUGUUAUAGCCCUCGGUGCAAUGCGGCCAGCCGGGACCGAGGACCGCGCUUCGGCUAGGAUGCUGGCGUAAUGGUCGUAAGCGACC
rnacentral:rRNA from 1 species